rnacentral:tRNA from 1 species
GCAUUAGUGGUUCAGUGGUAGAAUUCUCGCCUGCCAUGCAGGAGGCCUGGGUUCGUUUCCCGGCGAAUGCG